rnacentral:rRNA from 1 species
UACAGAGGGUGCAAGCGUUGUUCGGAUUUACUGGGCGUAAAGGGCGCGUAGGCGGCCACCGCAAGUCGGUUGUGAAAUCUCUGGGCUUAACCCAGAAAGGUCAACCGAUACUGCGGGGCUAGAGUGCAGAAGGGGCAACUGGAAUUCUCGGUGUAGCGGUGAAAUGCGUAGAUAUCGAGAGGAACACCUGCGGCGAAGGCGGGUUGCUGGGCUGACACUGACGCUGAUGCGCGAAAGCUAGGGGAGCGAACGGG